rnacentral:rRNA from 1 species
AUUUUUUUAGUAUCAUAAACCCCACCCGUGCGGCGUCUAUAAUCAAAGUCGAGCGGGGAAUCAUCCUUCGGAUAGGGCAGCGGGCAUACGGUAGUAACACGUGGGCCCCCCCAAACCGGAUAUCGGGAAACCGGGCGAUAAUACCGGAUAUCUCUUUUCCCCCGCAGGGGAAAAGGGGAAAGGCGGUUUUCGGCUGUCACAUUGCGUGAUGGCCCCCGGCCUUAGUGGUUGGUGAGGUAACGGCUCCACCAAGGGCGUGCGUUGCCAACCUUGAAGGUGUGGCCACACCUGGGAUGAGACCGCCCAGACUCUCGGGAGGCAGCAGUAGGGAAUUUUCCGCAAUGGGGAAAGCCUGACGGAGCAACGCCGCUGAGUGAGGACGGCCUUCGGGUUGUAAAACUCUGUUCUUGAGGAAGAAUUCCUUCCAGGCGAACAGCCUGGAAGGUUGACGGUACUCAAGGAGAAAGCCCCGGCUAACUACGUGCCAGCAGCCGCGGUAAUACGUAGGGGGCGAGCGUUAUCCGGAAUUAUUGGGCGUAAAGCGCGCGCAGGCGGCUGAUUAAGUCAGGUGUGAAAGGCUGCGGCUCAACCGCAGAGCGGCACCUGAAACUGGUCAGCUUGAGUGCAGGAGAGGGGAGCGGAAUUCCCGGUGUAGCGGUGGAAUGCGUAGAGAUCGGGAGGAACACCAGUGGCGAAGGCGGCUCUCUGGCCUGUAACUGACGCUGAGGCGCGAAAGCGUGGGGAGCAAACAGGAUUAGAUACCCUGGUAGUCCACGCCGUAAACGAUGAGUGCUAGGUGUUUUUGGGGGGGUCCCCCCUCAUGCCAAGGUAACCCAUUAAGCACUCCGCCGGGGAGUACGGCCCAAGGUUGAAACUCAAAGGAAUUGACGGGGGCCCCACAACGGUGGACCAGUGGUUUAAUUCGAAGCAACGCGAAGAACCUUACCAGGGCUUGACAUCCCCGCUGACCCCUCCUAAGAUGGAGGUUUCCUUCGGGACAGCGGUGACAGGUGGUGCAUGGUUGUCUCCACUCGUGUCGUGAGAAAUGUUGGGGUUCAGUCCCCAACGAAGCGCAACCUUUGUCGUUAAGUGCCAGCCAUUUCGAAUGGGCACUCUACCGAGACGCCCGUGAACCCGGAGAAAGGUGGGGAAUGACGUCCAAAUCAUCCAUGCCCCUAAGUUCCUGGGGUACACACAGUUGCCUACAAUUGGGCUGGUUACAACAGGGGUCAGGAAAACCCCCGGGGGUGAGCCAAUCCCAUUUACGAAAAAACCCUUAGUCCAAUUACAACACUCGGGCG